rnacentral:rRNA from 1 species
CAAUAGCGUAUAUUAAAGUUGUUGCAGUUAAAAAGCUCGUAGUUGGAUUUCUGGUUGAAGCGACCGGUCGGGCGUUGAUUCGUCUGCACUGGAGUCGGUUUUGGCCAUCCUCUAGGAAAGUGCGUCUGGUAUUAAGUUAUCGGGCGUAUGAUCCUGGUCUUUUACUGUGAAAAAAUUAGAGUGUUUAAAGCAGGCCUUCGCCUUGAAUACAUUAGCAUGGAAUAAUAAGAUAGGACUUUGGUCUAUUUUGUUGGUUUGCAGACCGAAGUAAUGAUUAAUAGGGAUAGUUGGGGGUAUUUAUAUUCCGAUGUCAGAGGUGAAAUUCUUAGAUUUUCGAAAGAUAAACUUAUGCGAAAGCAUUUACCAAGGAUGUUUUCAUUAA